AGUUUUCUCUUCUCUGCAGCCUCGGAUUGUUCCCUCUACCAAGAGGCAUGCAUUGGGAACAACAACCACUUCUGCCUUUAGCAAGGAGGGCUUCAUCAAGACACAUGAAAGCUUUGAGCCCUCAGAUCAUCUCAGGGAAGUCUGUGGUGUUUCAUCAUCUAGCCAUCCUCUUCCUGCCUUAGAACUUUUAUUUUAGACUUAAGUUCUUUGCUCAGAAAUGCCCUAGACUACAAGUUACUCUUUUUCUUUCUGCAGAUGGUUACAGUUGUAGAACUCCUCCUUUGUCUGUAAAGCUUUCCCUAACGGAUUGGAAUAUAAAUCACCUAGGUCCAUCCCAUCUAAUCUGCAGCAAACUUAGAACUCCUUCAGUCAGUGGGCAGUAUGACAGAGUGGAAAGAACAUGGACUUGAGAACUGAGCAAUCUUUGAUUUGAAAGAAAGAACUGAAUGUUGGUUGUCCCAUGAAUUUUGUGAAAUUACUUUUUGCCUCAGUUCCUUAGACCAUCAUCUAGAGAUAAUACCACCUACUCCAUAUGAUUAAUAUGAAUAGUAAAUGCAUGAAUAUUAUCUGACAGUUGGCACUGCAUAAAUGUCUCUACUCCCUUCUACAGAAUGCACCUAAAUCUUUUAUAUACAUCCAAUGUAAUGUUCAAUUUGUUUAUUUAGCAGUCAGCUUGGAUUAAGUUUUAUAAAACAAACAACUGCAGUAUCUCAGUGUCUUAACUGCGAAGAUUUGUUUCUAUUAAUAUGUUUUGUGGCCCUGCACCCUGCAACAUUUCAUUUUCAUUCUGAGACCUAGGCAGAAGGAACCAUCCUCUAUUUAGGACAUUUCAAAAGAGAAAGAGAAUAUACCAUGGCUGUUAAAGCUUUGGAUUGGAAAGGAUCUGUAUCACUUCUUGCAUUGCAUUGGCUAAAACAAGGUCACAUGAUCAAGCUUAAUACCAGAAGGGCAGGAGGGAAGGUGGAUAUUCUGAAUAAUAAUACAAUCUACUAUAUUUGUGUUCUUAAAUAUUUAAUUUAUGUAUGUAUUAUGCAUGCUUACAAUGUUAAUUAUUCCUUUAAAUCUCCAGAAGAAGACAUAUCACAUGUGAUAUUUCAUACUGUAAAGUAUAUUUUAUUCUAUAGGCUCCAGAAGAGUAGGAACUGUGUCCAUUCCCAUUACUUUGAACGGCACCUAUGCCAUGUCCUCUUGGUGGCAUUUGGGAGAAUCAUCAACACCCAACUAUACAGACAGGUAGGAGGGCAUCUGAGGAUGCCAUGAGCAAUGAUCAUCAGGACACAGCGUUUAACUGCUUAAUAGGAGGUUAUUCCUAUGGAGAGUCUUCUGCCAUGACUCAUCUGUGGGUGAUAAAAACCACUGCAAGGACUAAUUGCAUUUUCAUUUACUUCAUUACGUAUUAUUCCAGAAAGUCCACUUAUAUCAUAAUAUGGAUACCAGAAUAAUAGAAGCACAAACAAUAGUUAUUUAAAGUGCCAGAAAGUAAGUUUCUCAGUCCUGCUUCAGCAUAAAUCCACAGCAUUGCCUCACAUAUUACCUGACAGAUAAACACACAAUCACACAAAACCUGUUUGUAAUUUAGGACCGUAAUUUAUUUAACCAGAUCUCAAUCAAUAUUUAUAUAAUUAUAUAUUUUUAUUGUUAUAUAAAAUUCUGAAAUGAACAUUCUUAUAGGCAUCUGCCUCCUUAUUUCUCAGGGAUAAAUUCCUAAAUAUGGAUCAUGGACUGAAGAGGUAUGUAAAUCUUUAAGGCUUUUUAUUCCAGUCCACUGAUCCUCCCACCCUUCACUGUCCCCCAGUUCCUUGAGGCCCUCACUGCCCUCCUUACCUGACCUGAGUUCCAUGUCCAGUCAUUAUAAUCAUUCUCUCAAACACACCCUCAACCCCUUGACCCCCUCUCAUUUCCUUGUACAUGAAGCAAAGCUAUAACUUGUUAAAUCCAACUCUCCUUCUACUCUGCACCUGCACCCAGGGAGCACAGUGUGUCUGGGGAAAAGCCCACAACCACAUUGACUGGUCCCGUUUUAUGACCCUUAACUUCAAAUGAGCCCUGAAUGUAGCCAGGCCAUCAAGCUAGAUGUCUCUAGACCAUUCAUUCUCCCCCUAUCCUCCUCGACUGUUUCCUCCCAUUUUAUUUUUCCUCAACUUCCCACCUCCUCCCCGUCCUUACACUCAGGUUCCUAGUUCACUGUGGAAACAGAAGUAACCAAAGAUGAGUGGUCCCUGUGGCCAUCUCCUCCAAGAAUAUCCCUCCAGCAGUUUUGCUGUCUUCUACAUUAUCACUUCUUUCUCUCUCCUGCAUCAUUCCCGUCAGCGUACAACAUGCUGCUAUCUCCCUCAUCUUAAAAAUAAAAGCAUUUCCUCUUGACACCCAUUCCUUGCCAACUAUCAUUCCUUUAGCAAAACUUUUUUUUUUUAAAUUUGGUUUUUACUUACUAUUCAAAUGACAUUAGCAAAUUUACUAAGUUCUCUUGACUUCUCAUUUCAUUCUAUAGAAGUAAUGAUAUGAGUUUCAACUACUAUAACUAUUAUGGACAACUUAAAGUUUAAAAUAUCAAUCUCUAUUACAAAGCUUAUGAUGACAAGCACCCCUAUUCACCCCUUUCUGACUCAUCAGUCUUGCUUCUCAGGAGCAACCACUAUUGCCCAUUUUAGUUGUUUCUUUUAAUAUUUAUAGUUUGCUUUUUAAAAAAAUAGCUCUUAGAAAUGAAUUAUUGAAUUAUAUAUUUUAGAAGUUUUCUACUUAGUUUCCACUAUGGGAGAUGGAUAUGCUGCCCUCUCAAGCAAUAUCUUAGCUAAAUUAUAAAGCAGUUUAUAUAAUUUAUGACUAAAUAGGGUUAUUGCUGGACCCAAACAUCCUUUAGCAAAACUUUUAAAAUACUUGCCUGUACUCAACAGUCUUUGACUUCUCUUCUUCCAUUCUCUGUCAUUUUAAUCAUCAUGGAGAUAGAAUUUGCAUACAACACCAUUCACCAAUUUGAUUAGUAUUGACAAAUGUAAGUAGUCAUGUAACAACCACCACAAUUAAGAGAGAAUAUUUCCACCACUCCAGAAAUGUUCCCAUUGCCUUUCUGUAGUCAGUUCUCUCCCUACCCCCAGCCUCUAGGAACCGCUGAUCUACUUUCUGUAAUGAUCAUUUUGAUUUUCUGUAAUUUUAUAUAAAUGGAAUCAUAAAGUAUGUAGCCUUUUGGUAAGACUUCAUUCACUUAGCAUAUUUUGUGAUUCAUCCAUGUAGGUUUUUUUGUUUGUUUGUUUCUUUUAUUUGCUGAGUAUUAUUCCACUAUAUUGCAAUGCUAUGCCAUUUGUUUACCAGUUUACCAGUUGAUGGGUAUGUGAUUUGCUACCAGUUUUUUACUAUUAUGAAUAAAACUGCUAUGAACAU
rnacentral:lncRNA from 1 species